rnacentral:ncRNA from 1 species
AUCUUCAGGGCAGGGUGCAAGUCCCUACCGGCGGUACAGCCCGCGAGCCUUUAGGCCGAUUCGGUGAGAUUCCGGAGCCGACAGUAUAGUCUGGAAGGAAGAAG